rnacentral:rRNA from 1 species
UACGGAGGGUGCAAGCGUUGUCCGGAAUUACUGGGCGUAAAGAGCUCGUAGGCGGCUUGUCGCGUCGUUCGUGAAAACCCACAGCUCAACUGUGGGCUUGCGGUCGAUACGGGCAGGCUGGAGUUCGGUAGGGGAGACUGGAAUUCCUGGUGUAGCGGUGAAAUGCGCAGAUAUCAGGAGGAACACCGGUGGCGAAGGCGGGUCUCUGGGCCGAUACUGACGCUGAGGAGCGAAAGCGUGGGGAGCGAACAGG